GCGCCUGUAGCUCAGUUGGAUAGAGCAACGGCCUUCUAAGCCGUGGGUCGGGGGUUCGAUUCCCUCCAGGCGCGCCA
rnacentral:tRNA from 1 species